rnacentral:autocatalytically_spliced_intron from 2 species
UGCUGGAAAAUCCGAGUAUGGUAUGCUACUUGUAUUACAAGUGAUAAUGCUUACCUGCGGACAAUCAGCAGGGAGUUAAAUUAACUAUAUGGGAAGUAAUGAACAUACUCCUCAACGA